AGCAGCCGCGGUAAUUCCAGCUCCAAUAGCGUAUAUUAAAGUUGUUGCAGUUAAAAAGCUCGUAGCUGAACUUCGGGGUUUACCCAUUGGUCAGGCUUAAUUGUCUGUACUGGUGAGAUAAAUCUCUACCUUCUGAGGAACUUUCAUGUCAUUAAUUUGGUGUGAUUGGAAAUCAGGACUGUUACUUUGAAAAAAUUAGAGUGUUUAAAGCAGGCUAACGUCUGAAUACAUUAGCAUGGAAUAAUGAAAUAGGACGGACUGAUUCUAUUUCGUUGGUUUCUAGGAUCACCGUAAUGAUUAAUAGGGAUAGUUGGGGGCAUUAGUAUUCAAUUGUCAGAGGUGAAAUUCUUGGAUUUAUUGAAGACUAACUACUGCGAAAGCAUUUGCCAAGGAUGUUUUCAUUAAUCAAGAACGAAAGUUAGGGGAUCGAAGACGAUCAGAUACCGUCGUAGUCUUAACCAUAAACUAUGCCGACUAGGGAUCGGACGAAGUUAAUUUUAUAAUGACGCGUUCGGCACCU
rnacentral:rRNA from 1 species